rnacentral:rRNA from 1 species
UACGUAGGGUGCAAGCGUUAAUCGGAAUUACUGGGCGUAAAGCGCGCGCAGGCGGUUUUGUAAGUCUGUCGUGAAAUCCCCGGGCUCAACCUGGGAAUUGCGAUGGAGACUGCAAGGCUAGAAUCUGGCAGAGGGGGGUAGAAUUCCACGUGUAGCAGUGAAAUGCGUAGAGAUGUGGAGGAACACCGAUGGCGAAGGCAGCCCCCCGGGUCAAGAUUGACGCUCAUGCACGAAAGCGUGGGGAGCAAACAGG